UGUGUGUGACUGACAGCGCGGCGGGCACAGCCGCCCCGGGCGGGGGGGGGGCCACGGCCGCGGCAGCCCCGUCUCCGUCCCCCGGAGCCCUCUCCCCGGCGGGGGCGACCUCAGCGGCCUCGCUGCUCCUCCUCCUCCUCCUCCUCCUCCCUCCUGGCGGGUAGGUUACGUUACCUGGUCUCUAGCUCGGGCCGGAUCUAAUCCCGCGGCCGCCGGCGGCGGCGGCUCCCGGUCCCUGCCGCGGGGGGGUGAGAGCUUUAUGAAUCGGAUCUUUACAGAUGUGUUAGGAACUGUGACUGCCUGCGUAUGGACAGGAGGAGAGAGAACUUGGGUUGUGGUUGGGGACAUUCCAGUUUCCUGAGCUGCUAGCGAAGGAGGGGAGGACUCGAUAGAAUUGUCUGUUUAUUUUCCAUCAAUAACAUUUGAAUCCCUUAGCUAGCGUCAGCCACAAUGAACAAAGAUUUUUGAAAAAUAAUCUGGAGAGGAGCAUGGCACCCCUCAAAAAAGCUGCAGCGUGAGUGGCAAUACCUAUUACACAUCAAAGAAUCCAUCCACAGAGAACUGCCAUCUUGAAGCACAAAAUUCAUAUAAAUCAGAUUUUCUUUGGCUCCGUUGCUUAUGAAUCUGUUUGCUUUUAUGUGAGGAAUUCUUCUGUCAUUCUACUAAUCUAAUUCUGCAAUCAUUAAACGGGAAGAUGCAGACCCAGAAAUCUCAGUAAUGUAACAUUUUAUCAUUCCUUCUUUCUUGAGGAUAUUAUUGUUGCAAUUUAUGUAUCAUCUGCUUCCACUGCAAGUUCUUCAGAUUCGCUUUGUCAGGUGUUUGUAAAGCAGCCAGGUCGCUGCAGUCUCUGGGCAGUUUCUGGGACAGUAGUCCUAAGGAGCAGUGAGUAGUUCACUGGCAGACACAGCAAAUGCUUUUAUUCCUGGAACAGGAAGGAACAGUUUGGAGUCAUUUUUGUGACAUCCCAUAACCCAAGUAACACUUGAGUUGGGUACCUGAGUCCAGGGACAUUUUUAGGAGCAGACGUCCAUGGCGACUGCCAGGGCGGCUGGUGGAAGUCGCAGUUGCAUUAAUUCAGGUAGCGGUGCCAGUCCUCUCUUGUGCAAGCGCGUGAAAGGAGCCUGUGCCCAGCAUCCCCGCGGUGACGGGGUCUGUCCCGGCAGCGGGUUGCACCACGGGCUUUGGGAGACCAAGGAGCACCGAGGAGGGGCCCACCGAGCCAAGCGGAGGGACGAGCAAACACUAAGCAGCGACUGUUGGGCAUACAAGCACAGGAGCCUUGGGUACAGACGCCCAUGGGCAAACUCACUGUCACUUCCAGGCCGGCCCACACACAAUUACGGGAUUAAAAAUGUGUCAAUUACGAUGAAAUCUGAUGUAAGAUCUUUCAUAGAGAAGCUGCUAGUGCUGAAAUCAAAGUUGUAGACUUGGCAUUACAGCAGUGUUAGGCUCUCUUCCACAUUCAAACACUUUGCAUGCCCUGGAGAAAAUCAUAGGCUGUAUGGGACCUCAUACGGUUCCUGUAAAGUGCCAAGACAUUGGCUACAUUGUCUUUUACAGUGAAAUACUACGGUUUACCUACUGGUUUGUAGAAUGUUAGGAAAGUGAUUUUCAAAGGGAGCUGAAAAAUAAAUACAUGAAGAUAGAAAUGGUAACUGUUUUUCAUUGCAUAGUUCUGUUUCCUCCACUGAUGUACCUUAACAGGAAUAAAUAUGUAUUUAUAUAGAUAUAAAUAUAGACACUUUUUAUUUAUAAAUGUAUGCUGUAUACUAUAGACAAUAAAUUUUACACAGUGAUAGAUGUGAUAAGGUAUAUCACAUACACAGUAUUUGCUGUACUGCAUGGUACAUACUGCACGCUAUGUAUAGCACAGUGCUACAUACAGUACAAAUGGAUGUAUUCUGUGUUUAUAUAUCAUAAAUUUGUAUUUAUAUUACUGCUGCAUACAUUAACAUAUCUAUCUAGAAAUAGUAGAUUAUAUUAACAUAUGUUAACCAUUACAUAGACAUAUAUAUUUUCUGUAUAUACAUAUGUGCCUCAUGCAGUUUCUUUCUCUACCUCUUUUCAGAACACCCUCUCUAGGAAAGCUGUAUGCAUCUUAAUUGACUUACUGUUGCUGUGUGCUUCAUCGCAUUUUGCGUUUUCUACUCUGAAGGCAGAGUCUAAACAUGAGCUAGCUGCAGUUAUAACAGUGUGUGAUUCUGGCCUAUAGUCUGCACAAUUUCAGAUACAGCUUAACGUCUGCAUCCUGCUUACAGUCACAAAAAUUACGAUGAGCCCUCAGAGUAAAAGUCAAUGUAUGAUUUUAUUUUUUUAUGCUGACCUCGACUGCAGUGACGUCAGGUUUGUGAAGUGAAUGCACUCCCUUGCCAGUGCUGCAGAACGAAGGCUCUGAAGUGAUUCCGUUUCCUGUUGCAGAUUAAAAAAAAAAAAAAAAAAAACCUGUUGUCAUUCUACAUCUUUCCAGUCUCAGAGCACCUUCAAUGUAGGAAGCCCAUUAUUAGGAGUAAAAAUAUUCAUACCUACCCUCUAAGGGUAAGAAUUAAAAAUGUAUUGGUGGUAGCAAUUAAUAAUUUCCAUGUGAAUGUCAAGAAGCUAGCAAAAGUUCAGAGCUGUGUGUGCAUGUGUGUCUGUAUAUGGGGUUGUGGCAUUCUGUAUUUUUCAGUGAUCUAAUUGUAAAGAAGAAAUUAAACAAACUUAUCUAGCGUGUGUGUGAAAAGAAGUCACACAUCUGGUUAUUCAUUCUGUGUCCAUUCAAUAGUGAGAUAGACUUCUGGGAGGUCGCAUGUUACGUACUCUCCUGUUUCAGUUGGUAACAGCUUGAGGUCUUUUUAGUGAUAUUAACGGGAAAAGGUUUUAAGUAUAAUUUUUCACCAGAGAAAAAGAAAAUGCUGCAAAUGUUGAAUACCUGACGGUAUUUUCUGUGAGCCUAUCCACUAACUGUUUCGGUAAGUCUCCUACUGGAAUAGGAGUCCAUUUCCCCCAUGUGCCACUUGUCACAGAGUUUCGUUUGAACCCAAAAUUUUACAAGUCCUCUGCUAAGCUUAGAUUCUUCUGCUACAUCACAGGUUAUGUCUUCUAGUCGCAGAGCCUGGAUCUAAAGGGUGCAUCUUUAUGAUUGUGUGUCAUUCUGGCCUACAUAAGAUUGCAUUCUGAUUAUGUUUUUUUGUUCUGGAUUGAUUUCUGUUCCACAAAUACGCAACUCAAACUUCUCUCAUGUCCAUAUACAGGCUGGUGUGGUGUGCAUGCUCCUCAUCUCCAGCAAAUACACAGGGUAUUAUCAUUAAAAUUAUAUUGGUAAAUCACCUAAGCUACCUUCUGUAAGCUUUAUAUCAACAACUCAUCAUUGUCAGCCUGUGUCUCACUCCACCCUCGUUCAUACACACAGAUAGCUCUGUCGCUAGCAUAAAACUUUAAUCCUAGUUCUGUAGAGUGUAAGAGAUACGUAUACUUCAAUUUUUGUGAUAAAAUUCAUAUAAAGAUGAUGAGACUGUAGAAUUCUAACGAUAAAAUAUAGCCAAAGCAUGUCUUUCUAUUGAGGUGAGUUUUCUCUAUAAGCAUCGACCAUGUCUAUUCCAGACCCAAUAAAAUCCUUUUCUUUUACAGCUCCUGGGGACACAGAACACAGCACAUUGUAACUACAGGGAUAGACUUGACUGCGAAAGAUCUCUAUCAGGCAUCACAGAGAAUUUGAGGCAGUUGGCAGUUAUCAGCCGAAGCAGGUAGUCGGUAGAAGUGUAGAAGAUAAAUAGAUAAUAGAAAAGCAAUCUGGAAACCUGGGAGAGAUAAUAAACCUCUCUUCUAGAGGGGAGGUAACAACUCAGGUAGGUCACUGAUGAACUCAACUCCCAGAUCAGUGCUGUGUCUAAUACUGCUGAAAAUACAGUAGCAGUUCAUGCCUGUCAGCUCUGAAGUAGUAUUCAAGAUGUUGUUGGAAACGCAGUUUGACAUAUUCAGUCAUAGAAAUCACUACUGCAGUAGAGUGAGGAAGGAUCACACUGCUGAAAGACAGGUGACCAAAAUACCAGGAACACCAUGACCCUCUAUUAAAUUACAGUUGCCAGAAUAGAAAACUAGUUACGCCCCCUUCUUACCCUGCAUGCUGCUGCGCCUAUACUGCCGGCACAACCGUUACGUAGGACUCCUGCCAUACUGAUCGUGGUCCUCUGCGGGGCACGUGAUUUCUUUUUUGUGUGAGUUCUGCUUGCCUUAAAAUAACCAUUCUGUUUUCCCUACCAUGAGCACAGAGAAGAGAGGGCAAGGCCCAUGUCUAUGAGUAAAAAAUGUGUUGUUCUUAGUAGCUGUAUAUUAAAACAGUCCUACAAAACAUCUUUCUCUUCAAGUCACUCUUAUAAUUCUCAAAUUCCUGUCUAUGGAAAGUGUGAAAUCUUGCAUGAACGCGCAAGGAAACUGAUACCAUUUGAUAACUCUUCUUGCUGGCUUCUGAGAUCUUGUAGGACUGUAUUGGUGGUAGGGAGAUAGCAUCAGGAGAUAUUUUUGUAAGUGUGCGCACAGAAAAGAAGUCUGUCAGUGGCAUCUUUCCACCAAAGAAGUGCUCAAAUUACUUCACUGACAUCUGUCUUUAUUUUGUUUAACCACUCAGGUGGACCACAGAAAGUAGCUGAUGUCAGUGUAAUGUGAAUUCUUGUGGAGCUGAACAAAAAAUAAAAAAAAAAAGAAAAAAGAAAAGAAAAGGAAAGAAAGACUUCUGCUGCUCAAUUUGCUUUGAAAGAUACCUUAAAAAAAAUCUCUCUGUACCACAAGAGUUAUAAAUCAUUCUGUGCAUUAUACUGAAAGUACAUAAACCAAGACACAUGCAUCAAAUAUUUUUAGAGUAUUGGUCAACACAGUUAAAGGAAGUCCUAAACAGGAAAGCAACAUAUUAUAUUCACAAAACCCAUUAACAAAAUUUAGAUGUGUUCAUGUUGCUGGUUGCAUAAAUAAUUGUGUCCUUUGAACAGUCUCUGUAAUUCUUAAAAAGUAACUGAUGUACAUGUUUUUAUUUUUUAUGUAUUGUUUUAAUAUUUGUUUUGCUAUGCCUCUGGACAUGAAUCACUUGUGUGCCUCUGUAAAGUCUGCCUCUAAGUAGUGAUUGCUGAGGGUGUUUUUCCUUUCAUAUCUCAUUCUAUGACUGCUGAAAUAAGAAAAGGUCAAAGUUUUAAAGCUUACAUACAUCAAAAGUUUAAAAUGACGAUUUGCUAUUUUGAGGCCUGAUUUGUUUUUCCAUUGUGCCACUAUAAUCCUAGUGAUAGACUCUGGGCCAGUCUAGAUCCAUUUUUUAUAUCAAUUUUUCAGUUUAGAUGUUAUACAACUGUAAAUUACUAGCAUUGUGUUAUACAAUAUGCCUAACUUCAUUAGAUUACAAAACUUUUUAGGUAGCAGGAGGAUUUUCUUUCUGACUUGCGUAUUUUUAUUUGUUUUUAAAAGAAGAUAAAAGAGAAAUAGCUAAAAAAAUGCUUAUUAAAUAAAAUUCUAGAAUGUGCCUAAAUAUUCAUUAUAUAAGACUCCAGUAUGUCGGUAAUUAUCAGCUAAGAAGAUGUUGACAACAUGUUGUCCUAAACAGUGCAAAUAAUACUUAGGGUAAUAUAAGGGGCAAGAUGUAAGAAAGCAUCACUCCCAGGGAAGCAUCCUUAUAAUUAGGAUAGAAACAGGUCUUUUUACUUCUCUCUCAUGAAUCCUUUGAAUAUUGCAGAUUUUUUUCUAUGCUGUGAUCCAGAUUCAACAGGAAAAAUGGAGAAUAAAUAGUUCAACUCAGUCUCAGGCUCCAUAAUUCUCUGAGAUUCAGGUACUGCUAUAGGAGGUCUAAACAGAAGGAAAUCUUAUCUGGUCAAGUUUCCUAAUUGUGCAUAAAAGGAGGCAUCCUUCAUUAUCUGGUUGUGCUCAAAAAUUAAUUCAGUGCUCAGAGUCUCAGGGGAUGAAGAUGUCUGUUCUAUGUAGGUACAGGAGUCAGCUAACUGUUCAGACAAACAUCAUGGUUGAGUGUUCCCAAAGACAGUUGCUGUACCAUCAGUGAAAAGGGAAAGGCUUCCUCCUUAAGGGUUUUUAACUUCCUCAUGGAGGCACUUAACCCACUCACUGAUUGUAUGAGACUUGGGAUGCCUAAAGAACUACAUCUGAAUCAUCCUGCAGCUAUAAUAGUCUGAACAAGGCCCUUAAGAGUAGAUUGGUUUGCAGAAACAUUAAGCGUCAAUGAGCACACUCUGAUGGGAUCACGUUCUGCACUCACAGUAACGUGAAAAUGCAACUCCUGACUUGGUUUACAGAAUAUCAUGAACAUCUUGAAUACCGUGAGUAUAUUGAAUAUGCAAUUAAUAUUCAGUACUUUCAUUUGUUAUUCAUUGUGUCGAAAGCACUGGACUACAUGAUCAAAAUCAUACAUGAAGAGCUUUUACUUCAUGCCUUUAUGACUUAUUAAAAUCAUAGUUUACGUUGCAAUUCUCCUCUGGGAUAGUCACAUUUUUCCAAAGUGGGUAAAACCUAAGAAAUGGAAGUGUGUUUGGAUUACUAGUGCUUUUCAUGCCUCAAAACUGUAAAAAUCCUCAGUAUAUUAUAUAUUUACUUUCUUUACUGAUCAGGUCACAAAUGUAGUUUUGCAAGAUAAAGGUACUACAGAAGAUUUCAGAUGUAGCAAUACGUUUAACUUUUGGGGGCUACUUACCCAACAGGUCCUUCUCCCAACAUACAAAUCAACACCAGGAGACUUUUAAAGAAGAAACCACACGAUACUUAUGUAUGCGGUUCUACAGCAGAGUACGAGGAAGCAGAAGUCAAUACUCUUUUGGGGAAGGCCUCAGACUGCUAAUCCAAACCCUGUUUUCCCCAACACAUACGUGGCAUGGCAGCCACGUACGUGUUUGCAGGUGUUCACAUAUGUGCUCUUACUUCUUUUUGGUGACUCUCUUAUUCUGUAGCAAUUAGGCCUGCUGGAGCUUCUGCUGGUGCCUUGGGAUCACACUAUCCUGUUUUGGUUAUUCCACAAAAUAAAAAUUUCUUUCUUCAUUUCU